UUUCAUAUAAAAUUUCAUUUCUACUUCAUACUUCUUUUGUUUUCCCCCCAACUAACCUAGUUAGUUGCUAGGCAAUGCUAGCAAAAUGGUACUAGGCAAAGAAUGGUUCAUUGGGAAUAACUGGUCACAAUAGAAUGUGUGUCCCUUCCAUCUGAUCCAUCAGUUACCACACCAACUGACAGAUUCUUUACCUCAUCAUGAAAAUACUUGGUGAGAGCCUCAAUCAAGAUGUUCUUCUACCUCUCUACUUUAAUCUCUUGUCAACAGGGGAGAUGUAUUUCCCAAUGAAACAGAAGGUGAAUAAGCAUCUUCCAACAUGCUUGCCUGAGUCAAUGUCAGAAAGUCAACAUUUUGGAGGUCCCACCGAGAUCCAAAGUCCCAGCUACCUGAGCCUCCCUGCUAAUAAGGACCCUGAGAGUUGGCCCAUCUUGGAUACUUUGAUGAGCAUUACCAUUCAGAGCUAUAAAGAAGUCAAAAAUAUCUUAACUAGCCUUUUUACACAAUUCUAUGUGUAUAUUUUAAAGAAGUUACCUUUUUUUAUCUUCUUUACAUUGAUUUGCCAACUGAUUUAAAUAUAAUAUGAAAAAUUCACAUAUCUUUUCAGAUACACAUGUGUAUAAAGUGUAAUUAGAAUUUCUAUACCACAGAAAUACAUACAUAUAAUUAUGUACAUAUACACAUAUUUUUAUGUGUAUAAAAUUGCUGCUCACAGACAUAAAGUUGUACAGCAGAGAAAACAAUUUCACUGUCCAUGGAAACAGAAGAGCUAGAAUUAAAUAUUUUUUCUGAUGUUACUAUUUUUGUUACCUUGGACAAAUCAGCUACUUACCUUCAGUGGGCUUCAGUUUUCUCUUUUAUAAAAUUAGGUGUUGAACUAGAUGACCUCUGACAUCCUUUCUAGCUGUACAAAGUAGGCUUCAGGUUCAGAACACUUUAUGGGAUCAUCACACAAAAUCUUCUCUAUUUAAAAUUUCAAGGAAGAUAGCUGCUUAGAUGUAGCAAAAGUCCAGACCUCUGUGAAAACCCUUCCACAUCAAUCAAAAAUGGAGUGCUUCAAGGGGGCAGAAAAUCAAAUCUAACUACAGUACAGAGCUGGGGGACCCCCUGUUUUCGAUGUAAAAGAUACACCAAAAAAUAAGCCUGGAUUCGGUGGAUUAAGGAAAAGGAAGAAGGAAAGUCUGAGACCCCUACCCUAACUAUCUUGCUGAGUUUCCAGUAGUUGCUGGAAUCAUGGGGCAAGGGCUCUAGCUUUGCUGACACAGCUGUUCCAGGCUCAGGGCACUAACCACAUUUGUCAGGGAGGCAAUUGAAGGAGAAGCUUGGAAAGGGUAACCUCCUCAAGCAGCCAGAACUCUCCUCAGAGCACAUAUAGCUCCACAGAUAAACUCUGCCCAGGCUUAAUCUUAUCAAUAGGGCAGAUAAGAAGCACUCAUAGAGUAUGGAAGCUCAAGCUCCAAUUCCCCUGCCCCACUGACUGAGCUGACCACUGCAGAAUACCUUGAUAACCGGGUGGGAAGCAUAGCUCCCUUUAGCCUCCACACCUUCACCUACACCUUCAGCUUCUGUGACUAGCUGGGGAAGAUCUGACCUCAGGGCUCAUUAAUUCUCCACCAGCCUAAUCUAGUUAAUCAGCAGACCAUAACAACCAAACUGAAAGAAAUCACAUGAUUAUCUCAAUAGAUGCAGAAAAAAACUUUGACAAAAUAAACAUUCAUUCCUAUUGAAAACA
ensembl:lncRNA